rnacentral:lncRNA from 1 species
GACCAGCAGCUUUUUCCAUAUUCCACUUAUACAGAGCUCUCUCUUAAAAUAUCAGGAUUCAAUCAACCUACAGGGUUUUUUUUGUUGUGUUUGGUUUUUUUUGGUUUUUUUUAAUCCCAGCACUCAGCAUUCAAGACCAGAUUUUCUUUCAAGCUUCCUACUAGCUUAUUGCCGGCAAGAAGGAAAUAAAGAAGUUACUUUUUAAAGCCAGUAUUUGGCUAUAACGAGCAGAUAACAUCGCUGAAAAGCUAAGGAGGCUUCUGUGGUAUUAAUGGUCUCAUGCAAGGGCUUUUGAGAGAGCCUUCUCCUGCCUCACCUGGGUGAGAUUACGUUUUCCGUAGCCUCUAAAGAACCAGGAUCCAAUCAUGGACCAUUAAAGACAACAAUGGUAAAAGGUGUGAGAACUACCGCGGCUGAAACGCUGCCAGACCGCUCAUUUCUGGGCUACUACGGCAGUUCCCAGGCAAGUUCCUCUCUCUCUCCACAGGUUGCCGGUACCGAGUCCGUGCCGCUUCCAGCACCCCUCCCGAGCCGGGACAGAGCCCGUCCGUGCCCGGCUCCCCUCAGGGCUGAGCUGCAAGCCCGAUUCCCCUCAGGUGUGCCCGGCUCUCCUCCCGGAUGCCAGCGAGCCGGGAGCACAGGACCAGCCCGGCAUGGGUGCGGGACCUGCGCGUUUUCCACGCGUAAAAACAUGGAAAACCAAACGGUUCGGCACCAAUCCGGGUAUCCCCGCUAUGUGGCGAGCCGGAGGGUGUGGGAAGAGGGAGCCCUGCCCUGCCAUGGUGCUGGGAACCAGCAAUCCAGAGCCGCCAAGAAACCAGAAAUCGAAUUAAAUGUAGAAAAAUAACUUGCGAAAACUUGUUUUCUUGGGGAGUAACUCUGCUGCUCUGUUCGGGAUCUCGCCUCUCCCAGUAGACAUGCUUCUCAAAGAUAAAUAACGUGAAGAAAAGGCCAGACAUGCUCCGAAAAGGCAAAUGCAGUGUAUUUUCAUCCUCCUGGGGGUAAUUAGUUUUAUACAGCAUUUGCCAUUCAAAUCCAAAUCACUGGAAUGCCGCAGCGUUACCAGCCCGCUCCAGCCCUACUGCCGGAUCCAGUCUCCUUACAAAGGACACAAUAAAAGCUGUAAAUAUACAUUCCUCCUUCA